AUUGAACGCUGGCGGAACGCUUUACACAUGCAAGUCGAACGGUAACGCGGAGAGAAGCUUGCUUCUCUCCGGCGACGAGUGGCGAACGGGUGAGUAAUACAUCGGAACGUGUCCGCUCGUGGGGGACAACCAGCCGAAAGGUUGGCUAAUACCGCAUGAGUUCUACGGAAGAAAGAGGGGGACCCGCAAGGGCCUCUCGCGAGCGGAGCGGCCGAUGACUGAUUAGCCGGUUGGUGAGGUAACGGCUCACCAAAGCAACGAUCAGUAGCUGGUCUGAGAGGACGACCAGCCACACUGGGACUGAGACACGGCCCAGACUCCUACGGGAGGCAGCAGUGGGGAAUUUUGGACAAUGGGCGCAAGCCUGAUCCAGCUAUUCCGCGUGUGGGAUGAAGGCCCUCGGGUUGUAAACCACUUUUGUAGAGAACGAAAAGACACCUUCGAAUAAAGGGUGUUGCUGACGGUACUCUAAGAAUAAGCACCGGCUAACUACGUGCCAGCAGCCGCGGUAAUACGUAGGGUGCGAGCGUUAAUCGGAAUUACUGGGCGUAAAGGGUGCGCAGGCGGUUGAGUAAGACAGAUGUGAAAUCCCCGAGCUUAACUCGGGAAUGGCAUAUGUGACUGCUCGACUAGAGUGUGUCAGAGGGAGGUGGAAUUCCACGUGUAGCAGUGAAAUGCGUAGAUAUGUGGAAGAACACCGAUGGCGAAGGCAGCCUCCUGGGACAUAACUGACGCUCAGGCACGAAAGCGUGGGGAGCAAACAGG
rnacentral:rRNA from 1 species